rnacentral:tRNA from 1 species
AGAUAGCUCAGUUGGUAGAGCACCUGACUAGAGAUUCAGGAGGCCCAGGUUUAAAUCCCGGUUU